AUUGAACGCUGGCGGCAGGCUUAACACAUGCAAGUCGAGCGGAGUGAUGGUGCUUGCACUAUUACUUAGCGGCGGACGGGUGAGUAAUGCUUAAGAAUCUGCCAUUUAGUGGGGGACAACAUUCCGAAAGGAAUGCUAAUACCGCAUACGUCCUACGGGAGAAAGCAGGGGAUCUUCGGACCUUGCGCUAAAUGAUGAGCCUAAGUCGGAUUAGCUAGUUGGUGGGGUAAAGGCCUACCUAGGCGACGAUCUGUAGCGGGUCUGAGAGGAUGAUCCGCCACACUGGGACUGAGACACGGCCCAGACUCCUACGGGAGGCAGCAGUGGGGAAUAUUGGACAAUGGGCGGAAGCCUGAUCCAGCCAUGCCGCGUGUGUGAAGAAGGCCUUUUGGUUGUAAAGCACUUUAAGCGAGGAGGAGGCUACUAGUACUAAUACUACUGGAUAGUGGACGUUACUCGCAGAAUAAGCACCGGCUAACUCUGUGCCAGCCGCCGCAGUAACAC
rnacentral:rRNA from 1 species